rnacentral:rRNA from 1 species
UAAGACGAACCGUGCAAACGUUGUUCGGAAUCACUGGGCUUAAAGGGCGCGUAGGCGGCUUGCCAAGUCGGGGGUGAAAUCCAGCAGCUUAACUGUUGAAGUGCCUUCGAUACUGGCAAGCUCGAGGAAGGUAGGGGUGCGCGGAACUUCUGGUGGAGCGGUGAAAUGCGUUGAUAUCAGAAGGAACGCCGGUGGCGAAAGCGGCGCACUGGACCUUUUCUGACGCUGAGGCGCGAAAGCUAGGGGAGCAAACGGGAUUAGAUACCCCGGUAGUCCUAGCCCUAAACGAUGAGUACUAGAUUGUGGACUUAACAUGGGUUCACAGUCGAAGCAAAAGUUUUAAGUACUCCGCCUGGGGAGUAUGGUCGCAAGGCUG